rnacentral:misc_RNA from 1 species
GAUGAAGAACGCAGCGAAAUGCGAUAAGUAGUGUGAAUUGCAGAAUUCAGUGAAUCAUCGAAUCUUUGAACGCACAUUGCGCCUUCUAGUAUUCCGGAAGGCAUGCCUGUUCGAGAGUCAUUAACAACCGUUUCGAUCCCUUUCUUUCAGAAAUUACAAAGAGGAAAAGGGUUUGGUUAUGGUGGAGGAGGGAAAGGGAGCGUUUAGCCUGUAAAAAAAGAGGCUGUGUUCCGCCUCCCCCCCAAAAUUGUACAGGCGGUCGUGUGCGCCCACGCAUCGAGGUGUUGUAAAAGCUGCCACGGCACUUUUCACCUGUGCAGUGCGAGAUUGGCCAGCCGGUUUAAAAACCCCUCCAAACAAUCAAAGGUUGACCUCGGAUCAGGUAGGGAUACCCGCUGAACUUAAGCAUAUCAAUAAGCGGAGGA